GGAGAAAGCAUUUAUGGUGAGGAGAAAAGCAGCUGGUAUCACACUCUACCCAAGUCCCAAAAGCAGGUUCACAUAACUCCUGUCUUCAUUAUCUGAUAUCCGGCUUGCUUACAUUCUCUCGCUCCCGCAGCUUCCACUAUAGCAGUGUUUCUUCACCCUGGCAGCAGCAGUUCCUCCCUGCGGUUGCAACUAAAUCCAGGUUGCAGUUUUUCCAACAUUUACUAUACCAGCCUUACCAGCCUCAUCACCACUCACACCAGCACCCUCUUCUCCAAGACAUUUGAAGUUCUACAAUGAACCCGUCGGAGAUGCAAAGAAAAGGGCCUCCACGGAGUCUGCAGGUGUACCCAACAGCUCCGAAGAGACAGCGACCAUCAAGAACAGGCCAAGAUGACGAUGGCAGUUUUGUCGAAAAGAGAAGGGGGAAAUGUGGGGAAAAGCAAGAGAGAUCAGAUUGUUACUGUGUCUGUGUAGAAAGAAGUAGACAUAGGAGACUCCAUUUUCUUAUGUACUAGGAGAAAUUCUUCUGCCUUGAGAUUCUGUUAAUCUAUGACCUUACCUCCAACCCCGUGCUCUCUGAAACAUGUGCUGUGUCAACUCAGAGUUGAAUGGAUUAAGGGCAGUGCAAGAUGUGCUUUGUUAAACAGAUGCUUGAAGGCAGCAUGCUCCUUAAGAGUCAUCACCAGGACUUUCUUAUAAGCUAAUUAACAAAUUUGUACAUGGUUAACAAUUGUUUACAUUAAAUUCUAUUGGUAAAGU
rnacentral:lncRNA from 10 species